rnacentral:rRNA from 1 species
GUGGGGAAUAUUGCACAAUGGGGGAAACCCUGAUGCAGCGACGCCGCGUGAGUGAAGAAGUAUUUCGGUAUGUAAAGCUCUAUCAGCAGGGAAGAAAAUGACGGUACCUGACUAAGAAGCACCGGCUAAAUACGUGCCAGCAGCCGCGGUAAUACGUAUGGUGCAAGCGUUAUCCGGAUUUACUGGGUGUAAAGGGUGCGUAGGUGGUGAGACAAGUCUGAAGUGAAAAUCCGGGGCUUAACCCCGGAACUGCUUUGGAAACUGCCUGACUGGAGUACAGGAGAGGUAAGUGGAAUUCCUAGUGUAGCGGUGAAAUGCGUAGAUAUUAGGAGGAACACCAGUGGCGAAGGCGACUUACUGGACUGGUACUGACACUGAGGCACGAAAGCGUGGGGAGCAAACAGG